rnacentral:rRNA from 1 species
GAUGAACGCUGGCGGCGUGCCUAAUACAUGCAAGUCGAGCGAACGGGCGAGAAGCUUGCUUUUCUGAUGUUAGCGGCGGACGGGUGAGUAACACGUGGAUAACCUACCUAUAAGACUGGGAUAACUUCGGGAAACCGGAGCUAAUACCGGAUAAUAUUUUGAACCGCAUGGUUCAAAAGUGAAAGACGGUCUUGCUGUCACUUAUAGAUGAAUCCGCGCUGCAUGAGCUAGUUGGUAAGGUAACGGCUUACCAAGGCAACGAGGCAUGGCCGACCUGAGGGGAUGAUCGGCAGCCCGGAAGCGAGGACAAGGCCAGACUCCUACGGGAGGCAGCAGUAGGGAAUCUUACGCAAUGGGCGAAAGCCUGACGGAGCAACGCCGCGUGAGUGAUGAAGGUCUUCGGAUCGUAAAACUCUGUUAUUAGGGAGGAACAUAUGUGUAAGUAACUGUGCACAUCUUGACGGUACCUAAUCAGAAAGCCACGGCUAACUACGUG